UACGGAGGGUGCCAGCGUUGUCCGGAUUUAUUGGGUUUAAAGGGUGCGUAGGCGGCCUAUUAAGUCAGGGGUGAAAGACGGUAGCUUAACUAUCGCAGUGCCUUUGAUACUGAUAGGCUUGAAUGUACUUGAGGUAGGCGGAAUGUGACAAGUAGCGGUGAAAUGCAUAGAUAUGUCACAGAACACCAAUUGCGAAGGCAGCUUACUAAAGUAUGAUUGACGCUGAGGCACGAAAGCGUGGGGAUCAAACAGG
rnacentral:rRNA from 1 species